AGCUUAGCUCUCAUGACGUUUUAUUAGAUUAGCUGUGAGCAGCUGUGAGAGAGAUGUAAACAAAGAAAGAAAACACAUAUUCCAUAUGACGCAACCUCUGAAGCUCACCUUUUCAUUUAGUUAUUCAAAGGAUAUUGUUUAUUACUGUUGAGAUACUUAGUACCUUGAAUAAUGUCAUUAAUUACUUGUAUGUGACUCGUUAAAAGUAAAGGAAUCAGUUCCUGAACAGCAGCAAGUCUUUGGGAGUCCUUAUUUCUUCCUCAAAUCACGAGGCGGAUAAGUAUCUACUUCAUUGUCGUCGGAUGGGUUUCAGAAUGUCAAAUUUUACUCCGAAACAAUUUCGUGUUUUUUGAAAUCUUCAUCUAAAAUAAUUGGCACUGUAACUGGUCAAUUUAAUUUCUUGCUCGAACUUCAUAUAGUUAUUAAGAAACUUACAAUGACUUUGGUUCAUCAAUAAUUCAAGAAAGUUAGAUGCCAAUUCAGAAUCCAACUACUGAGAAAUAUAGGAAUAUGGAUACCUAUUAUAAACGAUCGGAACAACGGGAUAGAGUCCAAUUAAACGAAAUGUAUUGUCAUUUUAAAAAGUUAAUAUUAUAUUAACUCAACAAAAAACCUACUAUUUACACAGUAUUUUCUAAAUAGUCUCUAAUUAUUUGAUUUUAAACCACAAAACCUAACCAAAAUAAUGAAAUUUAAGUUUAAUAUAAUGAUGAUUAUUUUUUAUACUUUUAUAAGACAAUUUUUAAAAAGUGAAAUAUAUUUUUAAAAUUUCUUGUUUGUUGUGUUUGAUAGUUAUUGUAUAAUAAAGUUUUUUUAGUAAUU
rnacentral:lncRNA from 1 species